AAUCAACGCUGGCGGCGUGCCUCAGACAUGCAAGUCGAACGAUUAAAGCUCUCUUCGGAGAGUGUAUAGAGUGGCGCACGGGUGAGUAACACGUAAGUAAUCUACCUUUGAGUGGGGAAUAACAGUCGGAAACGACUGCUAAUACCGCAUAAUGCAGCGGCAUCGCAAGAUGACAGUUGUUAAAGGAGCAAUCCGCUUAAAGAGGAGCUUGCGGCAGAUUAGCUAGUUGGUAAGGUAAUGGCUUACCAAGGCUACGAUCUGUAUCCGGUCUAAGAGGACGGUCGGACACACUGACACUGAAUAACGGUCAGACUCCUACGGGAGGCAGCAGUCGGGAAGUUUUGGGCAAUGGGCGAAAGCCUGACCCAGCAACGCCGCGUGAAGGAUGAAGUA
rnacentral:rRNA from 1 species